CACUUCUAUAGUAACUUAAAAUAAAAACAAAUGGAAAUAUUAAAGGUUUAGGGAGUUCGGCUGGGCUGGGGUGGGCGCUGCCAACGGGCUUUCAUGGUUUGGAUUAAAACAAUCAGCACGUCGCCCAUCCAACAAUUUAUCGGUUCUGGAUCGGAUUGUUCACGCGCAUAUGAAUAUACGGGCAUCCUUAACUUUUACGGGGAUGAAUGGGCCUCCUCAUACUGAAGUAUGAAGAACCACUAAAAAAUGGGCCUAACAACUCUAAAAGAAAGACAAACGUGGAAACACACAGCCCAGAAGUUAUAUUUUUUCCUUUUCCUCUUAUAAUUUUUAUUUCAAGACCACCCAACUCCAAUUCAGGACUUCCGAACUUUUCAUUUAGGAUCGAUCAAUAUAUCUCAGAUAAAAUUAAUCUCUUUUCAUGGCGAGCAAUCUGAGCCGUGGGAUCGCAUCAACGAUGAUCUCGAAUUACUGGGUGGAAUCGGUGACUCGGCAGGUACCGAAGUCAGUUACAAGUAUGAUGAUGUGCACUUGGUCAAAAAACAAAGAUGAAGUUUCAUCAGAAGAAUCCAUGGCAAAAAAUGAGAAAGAAGCGACAACAACUAAGAUAGUUGAGGAGAGAGAAAAUGUUGAUAACGAUGAUGACGAAGACGAUGAUGGAGUUCAUAUGAAUAAAGAAACGGGUGAGAUUGGUGGGCCCAGAGGUCCUGAGCCUACUCGUUAUGGUGAUUGGGAAAAGGGUGGUCGUUGUUCUGAUUUUUAAGUUUAUCAAUUUGUAUUUCCGAUGAUUUUAUUGAUGGUAUGUUUUGUUAAACUAAGAUUAUAUAGUUCGAUUAUGACGUUGAUGUAAGAGUUUUAGUUUAAUGUAGAAGAGUUUAAUCUAUAUAGAUAGAUACAUUAAUACAUAUCUUCAAUUAAGUUUGGAUUUUA